AUCAGCAUGGGCGUCGUCCUCCCACAGCACCUCCCCAUCCCUGUGUUCCAGUGGCGGUGAUCUCCCCGUGCUCCUGUUCCCUCCCACCUAGUGCUUGCCUUUGUUCCAGGAAUAGCGCCCCAGGUUCCUGCUGCAGUUGGGUGGCUCUGGAGUGCGCCACCGCUGGCCGCCCCCUGCUGCGAGCCCGGCCCCUCCCCUGCGGACUUGGACUCUGUCCUGGGCUCCAGCUGCGAGCUGGGCUCCCGCUGCACACUGGACAGACCCCCGCAGACCAGCCUUUGCCAACUUCUCCCUGCCAGGCCAGCGGGCCUGCAUAGGUGUGCCCAGGGACCAGCGCUGAGGCUUCCAGCACCAUCCACCACCUCCCACCUACAGACUGCAGCCGCCAGUGAUCUCUUCUCACCCAGGAGCUGUCUCUCUGGUGUGUGCCUUUUGUUCAACACAGUGACCCCUGCACUCUGCCCUGCUCUUCUACACUACCUAGACAACAGUCUUUUCCUUAUUUUCAAUAAAUGUCAGAUGCUAUU